rnacentral:pre_miRNA from 1 species
UUUGAGUUAAAUAACUCAUUAUCGAAUCAAAUUGGAGAUAAGUGAGUUGAAACUAAAUUAAUAAAUAAAAUAUUAAAAUUUCAACUCACUUAUCUCAAAUGUGAUUGGAUGAUGAAUUAUUUAACCCAAA